AGUGAACGCUGGCGGUAGGCCUAACACAUGCAAGUCGAACGGCAGCACAGUAAGAGCUUGCUCUUACGGGUGGCGAGUGGCGGACGGGUGAGGAAUACAUCGGAAUCUACUUUUUCGUGGGGGAUAACGUAGGGAAACUUACGCUAAUACCGCAUACGACCUACGGGUGAAAGCAGGGGAUCUUCGGACCUUGCGCGAUUGAAUGAACCGAUGUCGGAUUAGCUAGUUGGCGGGGUAAAGGCCCACCAAGGCGACGAUCCGUAGCUGGUCUGAGAGGAUGAUCCGCCACACUGGAACUGAGAAACGGGCCAGACUCCUACGGGAGGGAGCAGUGGGGAAUAUUGGACAAUGGGCGGAAGCCUGAUCCAGCCAUACCGCGUGGGUGAAGAAGGCCUUCGGGUUGUAAAGCCCCUUUGUUGGGAAAGAAAAGCAGCAGGUUAAUACCCCGCUGUUCUGACGGUACCCAAAGAAUAAGCACCGGCUAACUUCGUG
rnacentral:rRNA from 1 species